CAAGUCACCAAGUAUCCCUAUAGCUUUUAAUGCUUUGUAUCUUUUCCAUUUGCAAGUUAUAGAUUCCCACCUGUGCAUUUACAUAUGCCCCUAUAAUCAUCAUAUAUUUUACAGGUAACAAACCAAAUGAAGAAGGCUGCCGCAUUACUGUGUCAACCGUGCCCAGUGUCAGUGAAGAUGGCGUGGUCAGUGCAAUCAUGGUGUUUGUGGGAAAUAGAGGAACCUUGCCCAGCUUUCUACUACGGUGUGACCCUGAUGAGGUAUUUUUUUCUGACUUUCCUGCCUCUUUGGAACAAAUCCAUUCACAUUUACUUUGGAGAGCACCGGGACAUUGACAUAAACAGCACUUUCCAACUACUUCAAAACAUUUGGUGACAAAUGAUUUUGGUUUUCUUGUU